rnacentral:miRNA from 1 species
CAGUUUCUGUUCAUUUUGCCUUUUGGUCACUAAUUUUGAAAUAUUAUUGGAAAUAAACACCAAAAGGCAAAAUGAAUAGAAUCUG